CUCCAUGAAGUCGGAAUCGCUAGUAAUCGCGGAUCAGAAUGCCGCGGUGAAUACGUUCCCGGGCCUUGUACACACCGCCCGUCACACCAUGGGAGUUUGUUGCACCAGAAGUAGUUAGCCUAACCGCAAGGAGGGCGAUUACCACGGUGUGGCCAAUGACUGGGGUGAAGUCGUAACAAGGUAGCCGUAGGGGAACCUGCGGCUGGAUCACCUCCUUA
rnacentral:rRNA from 1 species